rnacentral:rRNA from 1 species
UUGCACGCUGGCGGCAUGCUUUACACAUGCAAGUCGAACGGUAACAGGUCUUCGGAUGCUGACGAGUGGCGAACGGGUGAGUAAUACAUCGGAACGUGCCCAGACGUGGGGGAUAACGAGGCGAAAGCUUUGCUAAUACCGCAUACGAUCUAAGGAUGAAAGCAGGGGACCGCAAGGCCUUGCGCGUUUGGAGCGGCCGAUGGCAGAUUAGGUAGUUGGUGGGAUAAAAGCUUACCAAGCCGACGAUCUGUAGCUGGUCUGAGAGGACGACCAGCCACACUGGGACUGAGACACGGCCCAGACUCCUACGGGAGGCAGCAGUGGGGAAUUUUGGACAAUGGGCGAAAGCCUGAUCCAGCAAUGCCGCGUGCAGGAUGAAGGCCUUCGGGUUGUAAACUGCUUUUGUACGGAACGAAAAGGCUCUGGCUAAUACCUGGGGCACAUGACGGUACCGUAAGAAUAAGCACCGGCUAACUACGUG